GUGCGAAGAACUGAAUAGCAAAGGAUUGGAAGAAGAGGAAAUCAACAAGGAGCAUGACCUCCUAAAGGAAUCUUUUACCAUACUAUGGACCGAGGAAGAGAGAAGAUUAUACGAUUGGAGUUUGGCAAGAAGUGGAAAGCCUGAGCGAUAUGUCUGGCCUUUCGAAGUCGAUCCCAUGGAGCUAGCACCAGAUCCUCCAAAGGAACCAGAAGAUGAGUUCCCAACAAAGCUGGUUGGCUACUUUUUCCUGGCAUGGUUCAUACUAUCUGUUGCCUUGUCAGUAACCCUCAACAGAUGAUGAGUAGCUGUAGUUGUAAUCCAGCACUCCUUUCGGC
rnacentral:misc_RNA from 1 species